rnacentral:rRNA from 1 species
UACGUAGGGGGCGAGCGUUGUCCGGAAUGACUGGGCGUAAAGGGCGCGUAGGCGGCCGAAUAAGUCUGGAGUGAAAGUCCUGCUUUCAAGGUGGGAAUUGCUUUGGAAACUGUUUGGCUUGAGUGCAGAAGAGGUAAGUGGAAUUCCCAGUGUAGCGGUGAAAUGCGUAGAGAUUGGGAGGAACACCAGUGGCGAAGGCGACUUACUGGGCUGUAACUGACGCUGAGGCGCGAAAGCGUGGGGAGCAAACCGG